AGGGUGAUAGCUCAGUGCUGGAGCACGUGUUUAGCAUGCAUGAGGUCCUGGGUUAAAUCCCCAGUAGCUCCA
rnacentral:tRNA from 1 species